rnacentral:rRNA from 1 species
UACGUAGGGUGCGAGCGUUGUCCGGAAUUACUGGGCGUAAAGAGCUUGUAGGCGGUUUGUCGCGUCUUCUGUGAAAACUUGGGGCUCAACCCCAAGCUUGCAGGCGAUACGGGCAGACUAGAGUACUUCAGGGGAGACUGGAAUUCCUGGUGUAGCGGUGAAAUGCGCAGAUAUCAGGAGGAACACCGGUGGCGAAGGCGGGUCUCUGGGAAGUAACUGACGCUGAGAAGCGAAAGCAUGGGUAGCAAACAGG